rnacentral:misc_RNA from 1 species
GAUAUAUGUGCAGACUAAGGCUUUAAUCAACCACGUCACUGCUAAAGAGCUUGAACUUAUUAGCAUCAAGAACCAACUUCCUUAUAGAGGAAAAUGCUCCCAUAAUUCCUGCUCCUGUAAACACGAUUAUAAUAGAGAUGUUGAUCCAAUAGGUGAAAGAUGAUUUUGGAGGCUUGUAGGUCAUGUUAUAGAGAAGCAUUGGGAGGACAAAAUCUAGAGGGAUAAAGCCUAUAGCUCCAACAACACCAUUUAUGUCUCCAAAGAAUGGAAGCAUUGCUGCCAUAAAUCCACAGAAUAUCACGUAAAGUGUCCGAAGAAUUAGCCUAGGAAUCAGGUUCCUUUUGGAGAACAUUCCUUGUUUCACAUCAGCUGAUUUCUUUUCCAUGAUCUCAUAAGCUACUUGAGAAUAAACCAGGCCAAUAGCAAAGAGCUGAAGUAGUACAAAAGCGACUCCAAGGCCAAGAACCCACGUCGGAGCCAAGGAGGGUCCCUCAUCUGGCAGUAGGCUUUUGAGUAUGUUCGAAUUAGAUUUGUUUCCGAACACCCAGUAUCCAGACACCGCAGCUGAGUAGAACGUAACCA